GCCCAGCCAGUAUAAUGGAUAUGACCCUCGAAUUAUAACCGAGUGGGUUCGGGUUCGAAUCCCGAGCUAGGCA